rnacentral:rRNA from 1 species
UCAGACGAUGCGUCAUGCAUAUCAAUAAGCGGAGGAAAAGAAACUAACAAGGAUUCCCCUAGUAACGGCGAGUGAAGCGGGAAGAGCUCAAAUUUGAAAUCUUAAAGGGUUUCCCUUUACGAAUUGUAGUUUAAAGAAGUGUUUUCUGUUAGAGGUUUCGGUAAAAGUUCUUUGGAAUAGGACAUCAUAGAGGGUGAGAAUCCCGUAUUUGACCUUUACUUUCUAACUUUGUGAUACACUUUCAAAGAGUCGGAUUGUUUGGGAAUGCAGUCCAAAAUGGGUGGUAAAUUUCAUCUAAAGCUAAAUAUUGGCGAGAGACCGAUAGCGAACAAGUACCGUGAGGGAAAGAUGAAAAGAACUUUGAAAAGAGAGUUAAACAGUACGUGAAAUUGUCAAAAGGGAAGCGUUUGACACCAGUGUUGUUUUUCUGAAAAUCAAUUAAAGAACUGUUUAUGCUAAGCUGUUUAGACUUUAUCAGCUAACUGUUUAGUUUUGAGCUUUUCUUUAAUGCACUUUUCAGUUAACAAGUCAACAUCAAUUUCUUUUGCUGUAAAAAAGCUUGAGGAAGGUGGCUUGAGAUUCGUCUUAAGUGUUUAUAGCCUCUUGCCUAUGCAGUCGGAGAGAUUGAGGUCUGCAGCGUAGAUCCUUCGGGGCUAAAUGCAUUUGUGCUAAGUUAUAGCAUUUUAUAGACAACUUGUUGACUAUGAUUUGUCUUGUAGCUUACUCGCUUAUGUUAUUUUACCUACGCUUAGGAUGUUGAAGUCAUCGUAUCGCGC